rnacentral:rRNA from 1 species
GUAGGUGGUUUGUCGCGUCGUCUGUGAAAUCCCGGGGCUUACCUCGGGCGUGCAGGCGAUACGGGCAUAACUUGAGUGCUGUAGGGGAGACUGGAAUUCCUGGUGUAGCGGUGAAAUGCGCAGAUAUCAGGAGGAACACCAAUGGCGAAGGCAGGUCUCUGGGCAGUAACUGACGCUGAGGAGCGAAAGCAUGGGUAGCGAACAGGAUUAGAUACCCUGGUAGUCCAUGCCGUAAACGGUGGGCGCUAGGUGUAGGGGACUUCCACGUCUUCUGUGCCGCAGCUAACGCAUUAAGCGCCCCGCCUGGGGAGUACGGCCGCAAGGCUAAAACUCAAAGGAAUUGACGGGGGCCCGCACAAGCGGCGGAGCAUGUGGAUUAAUUCGAUGCAACGCGAAGAACCUUACCUGGGCUUGACAUACACCAGAUCGCUGCAGAGAUGUAGCUUCCCUUGUGGCUGGUGUACAGGUGGUGCAUGGUUGUCGUCAGCUCGUGUCGUGAGAUGUUGGGUUAAGUCCCGCAACGAGCGCAACCCUUGUCUUAUGUUGCCAUCACGUGAUGGUGGGCACUCAUGAGAGACUGCCGGGGUUAACUCGGAGGGAGGUGGGGAUGACGUCAAAUCAUCAUGCCCCUUAUGUCCAGGGCUUCACACAUGCUACAAUGGUCGGUACAGCGAGUUGCCACACCGUGAGGUGGAGCUAAUCUCUCAAAGCCGGCCUCAGUUCGGAUUGGGGUCUGCAACUCGACCCCAUGAAGUCGGAGUCGCUAGUAAU